GACGUAGGGUGCAAGCGUUGUCCGGAAUUAUUGGGCGUAAAGAGCUCGUAGGCGGUCUGUCGCGUCGGAUGUGAAAAUCCAGGGCUCAACCCUGGACCUGCAUUCGAUACGGGCAGACUAGAGUUCGGUAGGGGAGACUGGAAUUCCUGGUGUAGCGGUGAAAUGCGCAGAUAUCAGGAGGAACACCGGUGGCGAAGGCGGGUCUCUGGGCCGAAACUGACGCUGAGGAGCGAAAGCGUGGGGAGCAAACAGG
rnacentral:rRNA from 1 species